rnacentral:lncRNA from 1 species
GGGGUCACUCUCCAUCUGGGCUGUAGAGCCAGCAUGAGGCCUGGGCCUGCCUGCAGAGAAACAGCAUGCCAUCUCCUGUGCCCUUCUUGCUAAGGCUUAUCUAGCAUAGACUUGUAUGAUUCUUGCUAUGUUUCCAUGAUUCCAAAUCUUUUUUGAAAAAUUUUUUAUACAUAUUCUCUAGUUUCCUAAGAAAAUUACAUUAUGUGCUCCUUUAUUUCUUACUUGCAAGGCUGACAGAAAUAUGAGAAUAGUUCCAAGAAUUAUGUCCAUACCCUUAAACAGAUAGACCAAUUGCCUCCAUUGCCUCCAUCUUUCUCUACCAUUCUCUCACUCUAAAUGCUAUUUUUUCCCAAAACAUCUAAGAAUAAGCCUGACAUCAUGCCCCUUGUCCUAAAGACUUCAAUGUGUGUGUAUCCUAGGAACAAAGGUAUUCUACACAACCCGCAUGACCACAAUUGUAAAAUCAGGAUAUUUAACAAUGAUAUAUUACUAUUACCUAACGGUCCAUAGUCAUAUUUUAUCGAUUGUCCCAAUUAUGUUCUUCGUAGAUAUUUUUUUCCCUGAGUCUAGGGUCCAAUCCAGGAACAUGCAUUAUUUUUAGUUAUUUUGUCUCUUUAAUCUGUAACUGCUCCUCACUCUUUGUCAUUCAUGAUUUUAACAAUCUAAAAAAGUACAAUCUAGCUAUUUGAGAGAAUGUCCUUCAGUUGGGGUAGGUUUGAUAUUAACUCAUAAUUAGACAAUAGACUGAGUGCUAUUAGCAAGAAUUACAGAGAAGUGAGGUAUCCUUCCUGGUGUUUCUCAGCAGGCAGCACAAAAUUCACUUAGUCCCACUACCAAUGACCUGGAUUUUCACCACUCACUUAACAUGGUGUCCACCAAGCUUUUCCUCUGUAAAGUUACUGUUUUUCUCUUUGUCAUUAAUAAAUAACUGUGAUGCAUCCAUUGAUGAUUCUUUCUCAAAUCAGUUAUUAUUGUGAUCUUUAAAGAUGUUGAUUUUCUAAAAUUUCCUUCUAUAGCAAAGAACUUUUUCUCCCCUGUUAGAUAUUUUAUUCACUUAUCAGUUUGGACUCAUGGAUUUUAUUUUAUUCAUUAGGAUCAGUAUUUCAUUAUCACAUGUGGUGAUGGAUAUGUUCAUUUACUUCAUGGGGGAACCACAAUGUAUAUCGAGUCAUCACAUUAAAUACUUUACAUAUCUUAAAAUUUUCCUUGUCAGUGAUACUUUAAUAAAGUUUGAAAAAAAUACAUUCUCAUAGCAUGGAAUUUUACUCUAUUUAAUUUAUACAAAAGCAAAUCUUUAAUAUCAGUGGUUUUGAAGAGUGGUAUCUUUGUUGUAAUUAAUGUACAACUUCUAAACAAUCUUCUAGUAUCUUUCUUUGCUAAGCUAGUAUAGUAUAAAGUUCACCACUAUCAGUAGGAUAAUUCUCUUAGGUAUUAGGUUUUGAUAAAUUCAUAUUAGUCAUACCUUCUAUAAGUUCUUUAAGUUUUCUUUGCUCAGGCCCCCUCUCACCUCAAAGAAGAACAACUUUAGAGGUCAGGAGUUGUUUAAAAUAUACGUUGAUAAUAAAUAGUUCCUCUUAAUUAUUAAUUAUUGAUUCAUUUCUCUGUGUAAUUUAGCAUUAUCCAUUUGAGCUCUUAACAAUCUGUUUUGUUUGGAAUAUCUUCUGGUCAGUUUCCUUUUGAAAAUCCUACAUUGUAGAAUUUUCAAAAUUGGAUCUUACUUACAUGUGUACAAGGCUAAAAGCUUAUGACCAAAAGUUUAUGCCAUUUCAUUGAAGUGUGAAUCUACUGAUGACUGUUGGCUUCUCAUGUUGUCAUCAAAUGACAGUUGUGUGGAAUGGUUUAAUUCAACUUGCACCAAGGAAACUCUAUCUACUAUUGUUUGGAGGCUAAAGACCAAGAAAGCUAAUAAUUAGAAAACUUGUUAGAUAAAAACUACCUGAACAAAAAUUAGAGUUUGGAAGGAUUUCAAAUUUAGAUCAGAAGUAUGGAAAACAUACCUAAUGCCUUUUUAACUAGGCUUCUUCUUGGACUUAGGAAAAUAGGUAGGGUGAUUAGGAGGGGAAAAAAGGAUUCUGUUGGUUGAGAAGCAUUGAAAUAAGACUAAAUUUUCCAUUUAGAAGGUUAUUUAGAAUUUGCGUUAGUUUCAUGUUUAGCCCAAAUACGGCAUUCUGAUGUUUGGGGAAAUAUUUUCUCUACUGUAGAUAUUCCAAGUCCUUAUUUUGUUCUGCGGUAAUUUUAGAAAAGAGCCUUGACUCUCCAUUAGAGGAAGGUUUGUUUGAGUAUGCAAGUUGUUAUUUUAGAUGGCGAAAUCCACACAGAUGUGCAACUUCAUCAUAAAUAUGAUCUUAAGUAGCACCUAGUCCUGAUCAUAUUUAGAUGCUUCUAAUGGGAAAACAGAUCUUGCUUUUAAUUUUAGAGGAAUAAUAUUUAUUUGGCAGUGGCCUAUCUGAAACAGCAUUGGUGCUGGAAACCUAGCACUCUAUGACAGGUUUGUGUUCAUUUGCCAGAAUGGCCGAUACUGAAGUUUGAAGAGCUCUGUGCUUCCUAUAGCAGCAUAUGCAAAGUGAAUUCAGAUAGCUUUCAUCCAUCUCCAGAUGCUAUGCUUCCAUUCUUCUCACACUGAUACAAACAAUCUAGAAAACAAGCCAAAUUUUAGCCAUUGAAAGCUGCCACUCUGGUCUGUGGGUGUAUAAUGGCUUUCCUGUUCAACCCUGCAAAGCAGGCUGCAGCUCAAUGAUGACACAUAGGCUCUGAGCGUCAGUGUGAGGAUGAUGGAUCCAUCCAAAUUCCACGGUGCAUUGCCCACUCUCAUUUUCAUCAUGGCCUGUGUACUAUUGCUAUCAUCCAUUUUUCUUCGCAAGAAUAUGAGUAUUUCCUUACAAUUGUUUAGUCAGGAAUCAAGCAUCAAGUAAGCUGGGGACUGCUUUAAUAUUAUAGGUGGUGAGUCAACGAUUUCCUCAUGUUUAUGACCAGUUGAUGACUAGUUCCAAGUUAGAAGCAAAUGUUGACUGAUAACAUCUAUUAAAUACUUACAAAUGGUAAAUGCAGUAUAAAGCCUAGAAAAGCCAUGUUUCCUGUCAUCUAGCAGCUCAUAAUCUAAGACUAUUAAGAUAGUCAUACAUUCACUCUCUGCCUUACUCACCAGAUCCAAAGGAGAGUGGCUAAAAGGCUGUUAGUGAAAUAAUAUCUUUCCUAGUCAUUCUGAAUUAAGUCAGCUUUUUGUCAAGUAGAUGGUAUUUGAGAAUGUUUUCAGGAUGGGCAGUUGAUUACAAGUGGACCCAUGGGAAGUUUGUGGUGAUGGAAAUGCCUUCAGUGUUUGUUGUGCUGAUAGUGACAUGAGUGAAUACAUUUGUCAAAAUACAUCAAACUACACAUUUAGAAUAGAUGAAUUUUAAUAUUUUUAAAUCAUAUCUAGUUUCUAAUUUAUAAAACAAUCUUAGAAAUUAAUAUAAAUCCCAACUACAUGAUAGAACAUUCUUCAAAGUAUAUGAACAAUCAAUUCCUAGAAAAGGAAAUACAAAUGACUCUGAAGAAAAUAUACUGAUGCUAGACUCCUCUCAAGACGAAGGCAAUUGAAAAGAACAUGAGAUAACUUUCCUCAAAUUUACAGGUUAAAAAAAAACUGCAACAAACACACUUUAUAGGAAAACAGGUGCUUUCAUGCUUAAUUUGUUGAAGUGUAAAUUGAUGCUAUUCCUAUGGAAGUAGUUUGACAGUAACUAUUAAAAUUGCAAAUGCAUAUACCUUUAGAACAAAUAAUUGUCUUGGGGGAACUUUUUCAAAAUAUAUAGUGACAUGCAUGAAAAAUAACAUAUAUAUAAUGUAUUACUUGAAGGAUAAUUAAUAAUAAUUAUUCAAAUGUACAAAAUAGGGGCCUGGCUAAAUGAAUCAUGGGACAUCCCUGGAGUGGAAUACUGUGCAGCUGUAAAAAUGAUAAAGACUCUAUGUACUGGUAUAGUUCUUGAUAUUUAAGUGAAAAGACAAGGUACAAUUUCCAGGAAAAUAGAAUGGAUGGAAUAUCCCCUAUUCCUCUCCUGAAUACAAAUAAAAGUCCUGGACAUUAUAUAUGUAAACAAACAAUCAAAGAAAAGAAAACAGAAUAGGACUCUAAAAUGUUGGCAGAAAGCACAGCAGAUGAGCUGGGAAUCUCAGGACUCAAGAAACACAUAGUGGUGCAUGUUCUGGGUUUUCUUUCUGCUUCAUAUACUCCAGACUUGUUACUGAGAAAGCUGGUGAUCUGGAAACACCAAAAGGAGCACAAAAAAAUCUUGCCCUCUCCAGCCAAAGAAAUGGGCAGUUUAGCAUGAAUAAAAACUUUAAGAUAAUAACUACUCAAGCCAAACAUCACAGGAAAAACUAUGGCCCCACCCCCAACCAUACAAGCAAAGGCUAAGUAUGGAGAGUUGACUUCCUGGCUGGUCGCACUCCCCAAACGAAUGAUGGUAGGGGUGGUAUCAGAGGAUGUACAUCAAUAGGGAGCUUGAACUUACAUCCAUAAAUUGGAGUUAAUCGCAUUUUGAAAUUUGCCUUUUGAAGACUCUAUUAGAGGAUGGAAAGCUCUACAAACUACGGACUAAUAGAAAAUAUUUGCAAACCAUAAAUCCAACUUAAAUAUAUUAAAAACUCUUGAAACUCAAAACAUUUUUAAAAACCCAAAUAUACUUUUUCUUUAAAAAAAAUAUAUAUUUUUUUACGGCCACACCCGCGGCAUAUGAAAGUCCUCAGGCUAGGGGUUGAAUUAAGUUGCGGCUGCCGACCUCUGCCACAACCACAGAAACCAGGAUCUGAGCCAUAUCUGUGACCUAUGCAUCUUAUAGCAACACCGGAUAUUUUACCCACUGAGAGAGGCUGGGGAUCGAACCUAUAUCCUCAUGAACACUAUGACAGAUUCUUAACCCACUGAGGCACAAUGGGAACUCCCCCC